GACGAACGCUGGCGGCGUGCUUAACACAUGCAAGUCGAACGGAAAGGCCCUGCUUUUGUGGGGUGCUCGAGUGGCGAACGGGUGAGUAACACGUGAGUAACCUGCCCUUGACUUUGGGAUAACUUCAGGAAACUGGGGCUAAUACCGGAUAGGAGCUCCUGCUGCAUGGUGGGGGUUGGAAAGUUUCGGCGGUUGGGGAUGGACUCGCGGCUUAUCAGCUUGUUGGUGGGGUAGUGGCUUACCAAGGCUUUGACGGGUAGCCGGCCUGAGAGGGUGACCGGCCACAUUGGGACUGGGAUACGGCCCGGACUCCUACGGGAGGCAGCAGUGGGGAAUAUUGCACAAUGGGCGGAGGCCGGAUGCAGCAACGCCGCGUGCGGGAUGACGGCCUUCGGGUUGUAAACCGCUUUCGCCUGUGACGAAGCGUGAGUGACGGUAAUGGGUAAAGAAGCACCGGCUAACUACGU
rnacentral:rRNA from 1 species